GGGAAUAGCUCAAUUGGCAGAGCGACGGUCUCCAAAACCGAAGGUCGGGGGUUCGAGGCCCUCUUCC
rnacentral:tRNA from 1 species